rnacentral:rRNA from 2 species
CGCCUCUUGCACAUCCGAGUAUAAGAGGUCACGCCUGCCCUGUGACUAUAAGUUUAACGGCCGCGGUAUUUUGACCGUGCGAAGGUAGCGCAAUCACUUGCCUUUUAAAUGAAGACCAGUAUGAAUGGCACGACGAGGGCUUAACUGUCUCCUUCUUUCAGUCAAUGAAAUUGAUCUGCCCGUGCAGAAGCGGACAUAUAAACAUAAGACGAGAAGACCCUAUGGAGCUUUCAGACGCACAGAAGGCCUACGUUAAUUAACCCAAUCAACAGACCAAACCGAGUAGCACCCUUCUGAAUAUCUUUGGUUGGGGCGACUACGGGGAAACAAACAACCCCCAAGAGGAAUGAAAGUAAACUUUUAUAUUUAAGAACCACUAUUCUAAAAAUCAGAACAUCUGACCAUAUGAUCCGGUAAGACCGAUCAACGAACCAAGUUACCCUAGGGAUAACAGCGCAAUCCCCUUUUAGAGUCCCUAUCAACAAGGGGGUUUACGACCUCGAUGUUGGAUCAGGACAUCCUAAUGGUGCAACCGCUAUUAAGGGUUCGUUUGUUCAACGAUUAAAGUCCU